rnacentral:rRNA from 1 species
UACGUAGGGCGCAAGCGUUGUCCGGAAUUAUUGGGCGUAAAGAGCUCGUAGGCGGCUUGUCACGUCGGGUGUGAAAGCCCGGGGCUUAACCCCGGGUCUGCAUCCGAUACGGGCAGGCUAGAGUGUGGUAGGGGAGAUCGGAAUUCCUGGUGUAGCGGUGAAAUGCGCAGAUAUCAGGAGGAACACCGGUGGCGAAGGCGGCAUCCUGGACCGGCAUUGACGCUGAGGCGCGAAAGCCAGGGGAGCAAACGGG